UCCUAAAUUCACUGAACGCGAUGGAAGAUGAGGGAAAAUUCUCAACCUCGUCACCAUGAUUUAGAUUAUCCACAUACAUCAAAGCCAGAUUUUUUGUACCUCGCUUAAAACGGACAAAAACUGAUCCGGACUACGGUCGUUGGUCUCCCUCCCUCCCCCCUACCCACUUUGUCUUAAGCGACGAUCGUCCGGACAGUCUGUCGCUUCAGACGUGUUGAUUUUGAUUCGACGUUACCUAUGACGUUCUUAUUCCGCCUCCAUUGGUCUAUGGCGUCCGUAUCGGUAACAUAUCGGACUUCGGCGCAACCAUCGGAGUUUGGAGUCUUACAAGCAUAAAAGAGGUAGAUAUAUUUACUUCAUGACACCCAAUGUCUGCAGAGAUUUCUGAUACAACUCUAUGUCUACAGAAGAUUUCGGGAGGGAUUUGAUGAUGUCGGUGUCUGUGUACGCGGGACAUAGGCAGACGAGGCGAACUCCAUUACUCUGUACCUCUGGGUGAAACUGAUUGUAAGAAAAACAAGAUACCUGUGAGCGAAUGCUCACUAGUGAUACCUCCGUUCUGAUGUGAAUACGCAAAAUAAGCAAAGUCGACGUUUAACAGGAAAUUGGCAUCCAGUUGGUGCAAAAAUAUAUCCCACCGUAUGGCAUGCCUAAACAAAUAGUGUGUUAAAAUUUCAAGCAUCUGCAAUUUAUAGUUGCUGAGAAAUCUUUGACCAAAAUUUGUUUCAAAAUCUAGGCUAAAAAUAAACAAAGUCGUCAUUUAACAAGAAGUUGAUGUCCGAUUGGUACAAAAAUAUAUCCCACGAUAUGGCAUGCCUUUUAACAGUGUGUUAAAAUUUCAAGCAUCUGCGAUGAAUAGUUGUGGGAAAUGGUUGACAAAAUUUGUUUGAAAAUGUAGGCUAAAAAUAAACAAAAACGUCAUUU
rnacentral:sRNA from 1 species